rnacentral:lncRNA from 1 species
AUUUUCUUAACAUACGUCCACUGGCUUUGACCUCCAAUCAAGUUCCUAGAGCUUCCUCCCCGGAAGGUACCCUGAUACUUUUGCCGACUAUGAUAAUAAUAUUUGUGUCACGAUUUGCAGUAUGAAUUGAACUUUGAUUCUUUACCUUCAACGAAUAAUCUACAGUUCCAUUCAUGUUCAAUCAAAAUCUUAAAGUUGGUAAUAAAGGCAAUUCCAUUUUGAGGCCAAUAUUUUAUCAGAAUAUUCUCUUCCAUCAUCUUUUGGUCUGAACUUUUCCAUUGAAAAUUUAUCAUGACAGGGCUUCGUUUUACUCAGAGAUUCAUGGACUGCUCUUCAUUUGAAAUCUAGGGCAAUUGCUAUUCUCUUAUGUUUCGUUUUGAGUUGAUAUGCCGGUAUCAAAUGGGAAAGUUGAGAACGAGAAUUACGUUAGGAACUUGAUGAUUGAAAAAUGAGAUUGUUGAGAAUGUGGUGAUUGUGUUUGGAGAGCUUGGAGAUGAUUUUCAAAUCUUGUGUUUGUUUGUACGAGAGAAUUAUAGUGAUGAUAAUAUAAUGUU